rnacentral:misc_RNA from 1 species
AAAAUGCGAUACAUAAUGUGAAUUGCAGAACUCCGUGAAUCAUCAAGUUUUUGAACGCAUAUUGCGCUCGAGGUCUAGGCCAAGAGCAUGUCUGCCUCAGCGUCGGGUAAAUAUCACCAUGAUCAUCAUGUGUGGAUGUGGUAUUCCGUAGGUCAAACUAUGGUUUGCCCAAACAAAGUCGAAGCAAUCUUAUGCGAUUAAGACAAUCAUGUUUUAAAGCUUCUAAUACAUAAGCAAUUAUGCAUUUAUCUAAGCUUAGAACAUGGUAUUUUUCCGACCUAUGAUGCUUGCAUUUGAAAACACAUCUUAACCUCGACCUGAGCUCAGGCAAGAUAACCCGCUGAACUUAA